rnacentral:snoRNA from 1 species
UGUGAAUGAUGACAAAUCUUUUCCUGAUGACUGUGAGGGUAUACACUGAUUUAAUGAGCCUGAUGC